UUUGGACCAACACUCAUGAGGAGCACUGGCCCGGGUUGUUGAUUAAAUUCCUCGGGGUAGCUAUUCCCUAUGCAGUUUAUUAUUAGGUGAUUAGCAAAUAGUACCAAUGUUGGGUCCUGCCUGACAAGCCUUAACACUACGCGAUUUAUCAAGGGGGUCCCCAUAACAACCCCGAACGUGUUAGGAGCGAUCAUUAUGAAAUCAAACACCGGUAACCGGUAACUAAGGCGGCAAUAACGGAACAAGACACCCGGCAAAAGGCUAGGCCUCCCGUCAUUUACCAAGUAUAUAGAUACA
rnacentral:lncRNA from 1 species